GCCGGGGUGGCCGAGUUGUUAGGCGGCGGGCAGCAGCCUGUUAAGGUCGGUUCAAAUCCGAUCCCCGGCUCCA
rnacentral:tRNA from 1 species